rnacentral:rRNA from 1 species
UACGUAGGCGGAAAAUUAAGUCAGUAGUGAAAUCCCGCAGCUUAACUGUGGAACUGUCAUUGAUACUGGUUUUCUUGAAUUUAGUUGAGGUAGGCGGAAUGUGUAAUGUAGCGGUGAAAUGCUUAGAUAUUACACAGAACACCGAUUGCGAAGGCAGCUUACUAAACUAUGAUUGACGCUGAGGUACGAAAGCGUGGGGAGCGAACAGGAUUAGAUACCCUGGUAGUCC